rnacentral:rRNA from 1 species
UGGGGAAUCUUGCGCAAUGGGCGAAAGCCUGACGCAGCCAUGCCGCGUGAAUGAUGAAGGUCUUAGGAUUGUAAAGUUCUUUCGCUCGUGACGAUGAUGACGGUAACGAGAGAAGAAGCCCCGGCUAACUUCGUGCCAGCAGCCGCGGUAAUACGAAGGGGGCUAGCGUUGUUCGGAAUUACUGGGCGUAAAGGGCGCGUAGGCGGCAAUUCAAGUCAUCUGUGAAAUCUCCGGGCUUAACUCGGAACGGUCAGAUGAUACUGCUUUGCUAGAGUGCAGAAGGGGCAAUCGGAAUUCUUGGUGUAGCGGUGAAAUGCGUAGAUAUCAAGAGGAACACCUGAGGUGAAGACGGGUUGCUGGGCUGACACUGACGCUGAGGCGCGAAAGCCAGGGGAGCAAACGGGAUUAGAUACCCUGGUAGUCCCUGAGCGGGCUGGCAAGGCG